GAAUUCCUUGACGGAGAGUUUGAUCCUGGCUCAGGGUGAACGCUGGCGGCGUGCCUAACACAUGCAAGUCGAGCGGGGAAGCCUAAGGCCCCUUCGGGGGUACGGCUUCCUAGCGGCAAACGGGUGAGUAACACGUGGGUGACCUGCCCCGAAGAGGGGGAUAACCCCUGGAAACGGGGGCUAAUACCCCAUGUGCUUCGUGGGGUUAGAGGCCCACGAAGUAAAGGGUUCGGUUCCCGAAAGGGGCCGUUCCGCUUCGGGAGGGGCCCGCGGCCCAUCAGGUAGUUGGUGGGGUAAUGGCCUACCAAGCCUUAGACGGCUAGCGGGUGUGAGAGCAUGACCCGCCGCAUCGGAACUGAGACACUGUCCGGACUCCUACGGGAGGCUGCAGUAACGAAUAUUCCGCAAUGCACGAA
rnacentral:rRNA from 1 species